GAUGAAGAACGUAGCGAAAUGCGAUAAGUAAUGUGAAUUGCAGAAUUCAGUGAAUCAUCGAAUCUUUGAACGCACAUUGCGCCCGCCAGUAUUCUGGCGGGCAUGCCUGUCCGAGCGUCAUUUCAACCAUCAAGCCCCCGGGCUUGUGUUGGGGACCUGCGGCUGCCCGCAGGCCCUGAAAACCAGUGGCGGGCUCGCUGUCACACCGAGCGUAGUAGCAAUCACCUCGCUCAGGGCGUGCUGCGGGUUCCGGCCGUUAAACAGCCUUACAAAACCCAAGGUUGACCUCGGAUCAGGUAGGAAGACCCGCUGAACUUAAGCAUAUCAAUAGCGGAGGA
rnacentral:misc_RNA from 1 species